UUAAAAUAUUUCAGUGUUAACAUAAAAGGACCAAACGGAAAAAUACAACAAGGAAUCAUUUGAGUCAGAACAAAGCAAAUAAGCUACAGGUGUGAAAACAUCCUAACAGUCUGUCAGAGACGCUUCUCUGCUUCUUGUUUGUCUCUGAUUGUUUUUUUGUUCUUUGUUUGAAGUCAACCUCUUCAGGGAUACGAGACCUCGGCUCCACGAAGAGUCGGUCCAGCACCCGUAGAAAAGACACCUUGUCUGAUGGACUCUCCUCUAGCUCUGCCCUCAAGACCUCACGCUCCACCAGCUCAGUUUUCGGCGAUCUUCACGGACA